UACGUAGGAUCCAAGCGUUGUCCGGAUUUACUGGGUGUAAAGGGUGCGCAGGCGGACUUAUAAGUCAGAGGUGAAAUCUCACUGACUCAACAAGUGAAACUGCCUUUGAUACUGUAGGUCUUGAAUUAGGGAGAGAUUCGUGGAAUUCCGAGUGUAGCAGUGAAAUGUGUAGAUAUUCGGAAGAACACCAGUGGCGAAGGCAGCGAAUUGGCCCUAUAUUGACGCUCAGGCACGAAAGCAUGGGGAUCAAACAGG
rnacentral:rRNA from 1 species